UCGCAGACAUACCUCCAAUGGACCCGUUGGCCCUGGUAAAUUUUGAUUUCUUAAAGUAUUGUUCUUUCAGUCAUAUCUUCUUCCUUUUCGUUAUUGACUUUUAUUGUUGUCUUGUGUUGUGCAUUGGAUGAUGCUGUAAUAAUAAUCUCAGGCCAAGGUAACUCGAUGUGCAAUGCAAUUCUCCCCUUCCUAUCAUCGAAGAUAACAAGUUCUUAACUUAUUGUGUUUUAAUUGUUGCAGAGGGUGCUGGCGAAAUAUGGAUCGCUUGUUUCAGUGAUCUCCAUGGUGGUUUUGUUCGUGUACUUGAUAGCAACACCUUCAAAGCCCAAUGCAGCAAAAGCUGGCAGCAAGAAGAAACGCUAAGUUCGUGUAAUGAAGUUCGGAGAGGUUGUUACUUUUGUUUUGUUGUGUCUAGCAGUUUAAAACGAAUUUUCAAAACAUGUAAGAAUCUUAGAACACACUUUAAUUUUCGUGUUGCAGAGUACUUUUCUUAUUAAGUUAUUUUGUUUUGCGUAAAAAGACUUCUCUUUGAGAGUAUAGUCAUGAAGGCCUCCUUUACUUUGAUUCUGCCUUCUUCUUUCGAUUGUCAUGUUUGUUGUUUACUUUAAUUGCCUUUUUGCUAUGUGUCCUGUUUAAUACCAUAGCCGUUUUGUAGUGUCUAAUCUGGUUAUUGGUUUGAUGAGUUUGCCUAUGAGUUUAUUUGUUAUGGGUUCUUAACUGAUGUUUGGAAAAGUAAUAGGUCCUAUGUGUAAAAUAUAAAGACCGAGCCUACAAGCUCCAUCUUGUCAAUGAUGAUACAUAAUUAGUAACUAGUAUUUACUAAUCACUCAAGUACAUUGAUUUGGUCAACCUAAUAGUUUUCCAAAUUAAUCUCACUAUAUAAGUGUAGACCCAUAAAACCGUUUUAAACGUUUUCACUGUUUGUCACCUUAUCUAACAUAACUCAUCAUGGUUACCAAAAACAUUCAAUUAUGGUAAUAUUCAGAAUCGGUAGACAGUUUGAUGCUUAAGUAUAUGAAGCAAAGCAAAAUAGUAACUCUUGCUGUAAUAGUAAAGUCGUAAUUUGGGGGAUCCAACCAAAAAUAGCAACAAAAGGAGAUUUUCAAAUUAAACAGAGCAAAAGUAGUAAAAAUGGAUGUUCCCACUAUCUCUAUCUUUGAGUCUGGGAACAAUCCUGAAUUAAGCAACACAAAUUUCAAAAAAAAUAAUAAUAUAUUGAAUCCGGAGGAUGAGCUCACUCUUCCUCAUCAUACGUUUUUUUUUAUUUGUUUCUUUCCAAACAAAAAUCCUAACCAUUUUCAUCAUCAUUUAAGUCUUUAGGCUUUGACGGCAGGGGCUGGAGUAACACCACCGGUGGUUGGCCUGAAUAAAAUUAAAAUAAUAUUAGAGUUUGCAGUUUUGGAAGUGGUAUUGAAAGAAAGAAAAUCAGAAAGAGGAUCUUACAGGCCAACAAAGACUUUGAAGGCAUCGUACAAACCCCACUGAGCUCCGGUCAAUGUCCCUAUCAUCACAAUUCUCAAAGGAAGCCCUCUGGUGAAUAGUCCCACCAUUCCAAUCUUCUUCACCGCCUGCAUCAACAUUUCAUUUCAUCAAAAAAAAGUCAUUACUUAUCCAACAUCAACACAAAUUUCAAUAAUUUAUAGCUUUCUUGUAUUACAGACACAGUAACUCACAUCUCCAACGGUUGCUCCCUUAGCGUUGUUGAGGAACGACACGAGAUUGUCAGCAGGGUGGGACACAAUAGCACAAAAAACUCCAGCAACAUACCCUCCAGCAAAACUAACCCCGAGCUGCAGACCUUUGCUGCACUCGUGCUUCGGGUUGGGGAUAGCAUACUUGUAAAUCAUCUCCACAAUGGUCUCAAACGAAGCAAACUUCAUCAUAGUGUCUGUCACAUUUCCAUAUAUCAUCAGCACAACGUAUUACGCCUCAAAGAAAAUAUAUAUAGGCCAAAACUUACAAGGAAUCUGACGACCCCAGAGAGGAGCAAGACCCUUAUACAACCUGCAUAAACAAAUAAAUAUAAGUAUCAGUACCAGACACUAAGCUGCAACAAGAGAGAGAACGAAAACGUAACUCACCCUCCGUAUCCUUCAGACUUGACAAACUUGGGAAACCCAUCAGACAUCCCCCUAGCGAACCCAGGCUGCGUCUGAACCCUAACCUUAACAGCUUCAAACGGACAAAGCGCCACAUCGGCAAUCACCUCAGCGGAAGCAGAACCAGCAAGGUAGAUAAGCGUCUUGUACUUGGCAGCAAACUCAGGUCCAGCGAGAUCAGAGUAGUACUUCUUGAAAAACUCGUAGAACCCAAACUUGCAAGCGCCCUGAGCACUGUAACCCAACAGAGUAGGCACCCAUCCACGGAAAAAGCCUCUCACUCCUUGCUCCUUCAACAGAAUCCCAAAGCCAGACGAGAUGCUCUUGUACUUGGCCGGAUCAAUCUAUAAUAGAGGUUGAAGAACACCGAAGAGAAAUGUAAAGAAUGAUACUAAACCGGACUAAACCAAGCUUAAAUUAUAUGUGCAGUAUAACCAAUUUAAACCGGCUAAUAAUCUUAGAUCACGGAUCUAAAACCAACAACCUAGAUCUAAACACGUGGACGCGGAUCUAUGAAACGUACCUGCAUAUUGCACUUGACGAGAUCGAGAGGUGUGACGGCCAUGUGAGUGAGACCGCAGCUGAGAAUCCCACCGACGGUGCACGCGGCGUAGAAGUCGCGAGAGUACAUCUCGAUACCUUUCCCCGGCUCGGUGGGGGAGGCGAUGAGGAAGUUCUUGCGAGACGCCAUCGUCUUCGGAGAUGGAGAAGGAGAGUUCUUCUCGAGGUUGGGGGAUUGAAACGCGGCGUUUGAGUUGGAGUUAAUGACCUGGUCGAGGAGUACGGAUCUAGGAGAUGAGGAAGAGGAGUAGAGGAAGCUUGGGAUCAAAGAGUUCUUCGACGAUUCCAUCGCGGCGGAGGAGGGAGGAGAGAACGGAGAUAAGAUUCGCGGCUUGUGAAAUGAGUGUGGGUGCGGCGAUGGUCUGUAUCUCACGUUCACUUAGGGUUAUUACCACCAACUCUCAGUCUCUGUUCUUUAUUGGACAUCUAGAAUCCGUUGGAACAAGGCGUAUACUCUGCGAUAAUUACGUUCACCUCCCAAGCUCUCGGCGGUCACCAGAACGCCCACAAACGUGAACGCGCCGCUGCUCGCCGCAACCUCGGCGUUGUCGCUCAUGCUCCAUCCGUCAUCGAUGACCACGACGACGCCACUUUCUUCCGUUCCUCCUACCCGUGUAACUACUACUACCCUAACCCACCUCAAGGAUCCACUUCGGUUACCGGAUCGGCAUGGAACGUACCGGAUCAACAAACGAUGAUGGUGAUGGGUGGGUACGUCGACCCGUAUCCGUAUCCGUUUGCGUACCCAUUCGGAUUUGCCGGCGAUAUUGGUGGCGUGGAGGAAGAGGAGCCAGAGCUGGAUCUCUCUCUCCGUCUAUGAAGUUAGUUGUUACUUUUUUUCUGUUUUGUCUUGUUCAGGUGACUCUUUUAAGUACAACUUUGGAGCUACGUAGCCGUUUCUAUCUUUCUCUUUUUGUGUUCAUCUCCUACUUUUAAUAUAAACUACCUUUUUGAUAAUGAUCGUUACUAUUUAGUUUAUAAUCGAGCAUGGAUCAGUCUAUAUUUACAUGUUCAACUAAAUACUUCAAAGCGUUGAUGGAUAAUGCAUUUGAAAACAAACAUGAACUUGAUUUGUUUCCGAAAUAUAAAACAUCAAGUUGAAGAUGGACAAACACAUCACUAAUGAUUCGCUUGUUUUACGACCUUGAUUCGGAGACGACGACAGAUUCCGAUUAUGUCUCUAUCGGAAGUUCUACCACCGUCUUCCGAUAUGCUCUCUGCCCGUCUCCAUAAAGUUGGUACGUGUGCGGAAUCCAACAUCUCAUCAUCACCCACGUGACUGACUCACGUGACGCUCAUCUCAUCCAAAUCUAUUUUUUCCCCAAAUGAAACAAGUAAACUGCUUGCCGUUUAUAAGCGCCUCACACGACAACCACUUUUACCUCACCACAGCUACAAGGUUUUAUCUAUGUUAAAUAAAAAUGUAUAAUUCCAACGGCAAUGUGGUGGUGUUAGAGAUGAAACAUGGCAAAUUUGUUACAUACCAUUGGUACUGUAAAAAUGCAAUUUAUUGACCAAAAUAAUGCAAUUUAUUAACUUGAACGGGCCUUCUUUAAUUGGGCCCAUUAUCAGGCGAAAAACAUUGAGCCCAUCAUUGACUUUUUCCCUUCCGAGUGGUGGUAAUAACAUCGUCGUCCUCGUCGGAGGUUUCACGAGCUGAGGAAAAAUCAAUCGCAGAUCUGUUUCACCAUCUGCAUUUCCAAAUUCCAAACAACUAUGGCGAUCCCCUCAGCUAACCUUCUGAUCUCCGCCCUGACGAUCUUCAUCCUCGUCUCCGCUUCCUUCGCGACCUCGGAAACGCCGUUCCUGGUGGUCCACAAGAAAGCGACUCUCAACAGGCUCAAAUCCGGCGCCGAGCGAGUCCUCGUCUCCUUCGACAUCUACAACCAAGGAUCUGCGUAACCUCCUCUUCCCUCUCCUCUAGUUUCGCUUCGCAAUCCAUCUGAUUCACACGAUUUCGUUUCCGAUCCAAUCUAGUAUCUGAUCGUCUAUUUGCAUGAAGAGAUUAGCUAAUUUAUUAGACUCGUUAGAUCUAUAGAUAUGGAUCAGUGAUUUGGUGUUUUGAUCACAGGACGGCGUAUGAUGUGACUCUGACUGAUAAAACGUGGAUUAAGAAAACUUUUGAACUUGUUAACGGAAACAAGUCAAGAACAUGGGAGAGACUUGAUGCGUGAGUUUCUCACUCUUAUGGUAGCUAGCUCCUAGCUGCUUCCUUUUUUUCACUGAUGUGAUCUUUGUAUGUAGAGGAGGUAUCGUGUCUCAUUCUUUCGAACUUGAGGCAAAGGUUAAAGGACCUUUCUAUGGUGCUCCUGCUCUUGUUACUUUCCGCGUCCCCACAAAGGCGGUUCUACAGGUUUUGCCAUUUAUUUAUAAGCUCUCUCUUUGUGCUUCUUUUUAGAUGGAGAGAUUGAUUAUUACAGUAACCCAUUUUAUAAAUUUGUUUGUUUGUUUGUAGCAAGCUUACUCAACUCCAAUACUACCUCUAAACAUCCUCGCAGACAUACCUCCAAUGGACCCGUUGGCCCUGGUAAAUUUUGAUUUCUUAAAGUAUUGUUCUUUCAGUCAUAUCUUCUUCCUUUUCGUUAUUGACUUUUAUUGUUGUCUUGUGUUGUGCAUUGGAUGAUGCUGUAAUAAUAAUCUCAGGCCAAGGUAACUCGAUGUGCAAUGCAAUUCUCCCCUUCCUAUCAUCGAAGAUAACAAGUUCUUAACUUAUUGUGUUUUAAUUGUUGCAGAGGGUGCUGGCGAAAUAUGGAUCGCUUGUUUCAGUGAUCUCCAUGGUGGUUUUGUUCGUGUACUUGAUAGCAACACCUUCAAAGCCCAAUGCAGCAAAAGCUGGCAGCAAGAAGAAACGCUAAGUUCGUGUAAUGAAGUUCGGAGAGGUUGUUACUUUUGUUUUGUUGUGUCUAGCAGUUUAAAACGAAUUUUCAAAACAUGUAAGAAUCUUAGAACACACUU
rnacentral:lncRNA from 1 species